AUCUUCCUAGUAUCAAAUAAGUACAGGUGACUUCCAAUCACUUAGUCUUGGUUAAAAUCCAAGGGAAGAUA
rnacentral:tRNA from 1 species